rnacentral:rRNA from 1 species
UACGGAGGGGGCUAGCGUUGUUCGGAAUUACUGGGCGUAAAGGGCGCGUAGGCGGUGCGAUCAGUCAGGCGUGAAAGGCCCGGGCUCAACCCGGGGACUGCGCUUGAUACUGUUGCGCUGUGAGUCCGGGAGAGGAUGGCGGAAUUCCCAGUGUAGAGGUGAAAUUCGUAGAUAUUCGCAAGAACACCAGUGGCGAAGGCGGCUCACUGGCCCGGUACUGACGCUGAGGUGCGAAAGCGUGGGGAGCAAACAGG